rnacentral:lncRNA from 1 species
AGAGUGGAACAUGGCGGCCUCCUUGCCGCUUGCGUUACCAGAGUCCACCCGGCCUCGUGCUUUCUCCGGGCGCCCGUAGCUGGCGCCGGCAUCCACAAAAAUAGAUCAGACAGAGGAUGAAUAAAGAGGAAGCUCCAGGCUGUGAAGCGUCUAGUCCUUGCUCCCCUCAGAAGCUGGGACAUGUUGGACCAAGGUGGUAAGGAUAGUGAGAGGCCAAAGAUUUAACAAUAUACUGUGAUGCUGGGGCUGGGAGGAGAUUGCACCUUUAUAGCCUGGUGGUGGCAGUCCAGAGUGCAACCCCUAGAGAUGGUAACUUGACAAGACCUCUCAAAAACACUACACACAGCUUUUGAGCCCCUCAUCCCACUUCUGAGAGUAAGUCCUAUGGCAACAUGUGCACACGUGGAAAAUGAAGUCUGUACAAGUUUCCCAGAAGCUGGACAAGCCACGACGGCGCCUUCCAAUAAAAGGGGAACUCCAGAGACGCUAUGAGAAAAGAGGAACAGACAUCUGCAAUAGAUAUCUGCAACUUCCUUUUCAAAAACACCAUCGGCAUUGCUUUCUCAGGAAGCCACUGCCAGCCUAUUGUGAUAGCUGACACUGAGUUCCUGAGAAUUCUCUAAUUAGGAUCCCAGAUUGGAGGGUCAGCCAGUGGUUAACAUAUAAUGGACACAAAACUGAUUUUACUGGAAGACUGAGGGUGGGCACUCACCAUGGUUCUAAGCAUUCAUUACUCAGAAGAUCCAUAAAAACAUUACAGUUCUGUUGUGUAAGAGUUUAGGAAAAAAAGAAAAUCCUGACAAAAAUCCCAACCUAAAAAACAGUGUCAACAUUUGUAAGUAGGAUGGGGAGGCAGAGAUGAAUUGGCAGUGUUAUCACAGCUACUGGACUAUGUGGACUUUAACAAAGUAAGAAACGGGUGGGGGUUGGGUGGUGGUAUCUUAAUAGAGCAGGAGUAGAGACGGAUGUCCUGGGGCAGAAUGGGUACCAAUGCUGCCUGAAGCCUGGAGCUGGGAGCUGAGGACUAAGAGGUAGACAGGAGGGUGGGGACCGGUACCUGCUCCAAGGAACUGGUGCCCCAGAACUGGUGAGCUGGGGUAUGCAUUUAGCUCAUUCGUUUACCAGAAUGCAGUCACCACCUGAUGAAAGAAAUGACUAAUGGCAGGACUUGAACAGUUCUCUAUAAAUGAGUACCUGGGAGAAAAACAGGUCUCCAGGCUCCACAAUACCCAAUAAACACACUGCCUUUAGCCCACUUCAAGCUGCACUUCUUACAUGGAACCCAACCCAACCAACCUCAGAGGUAAGGGUGAGAGCAGGCAAUGAACAGCUAUGAUUCUCCAUUCCCUGGCCAGGCAGGGAGCCUUUCCAUCCACCCUCGUGAGACUGCUUGUAACAGAAAUAAGGAAACCGACUCCAAGGCUCAGUAACCCACCCAAGGUCAGAACCACGGAGUGGCAGGGCCUGUGAGCCACAAAGGAGACUGAAAACCAGAAAGAGCUUCUCUCUGGUCUGUUAUUUUAAGAAAAACAUGCCCAGAGGGGCCACCUGGAAGCAAGGCUGUGUGGCACCCUCACCUUCCUAAUUAAACAACAACUUCCCAGGAGCAACGACAGCAACAACAGCCUGGCCCAGCAGAUGAACUCGAAUCAAUCCAAGCCCUUCCCCUAUACGGGUCAGUUUGGGCACUACUUUACCUGCUGUGAAGUCUACUGGGAUCUUCCAGGAAAGUCCCACCUCAUUAGUAAAAAGAAAAACAAAGACUCGGGAAGAAAGUUCCUGCCCUCCCUGUUGAAUGCUGUGUGAGGAUA